GACGAACGCUGGCGGCGUGCUUAACACAUGCAAGUCGAACGGAAAGGCCCUGCUUGCAGGGUGCUCGAGUGGCGAACGGGUGAGUAACACGUGGGUGAUCUGCCCCUUACUUUGGGAUAAGCCUGGGAAACUGGGUCUAAUACUGGAUAGGACCAUGCUGUAGGGGGUGUGGGGGAAAGAUUAGUUUCGGUAAGGGAUGAGCUCGCGGCCUAUCAGCUUGUUGGUGGGGUAAUGGCCUACCAAGGCGUCGACGGGUAGCCGGCCUGAGAGGGUGGACGGCAACAUUGGGACUGAGAUACGGCCCAGACGCCUACGGGAGGCAGCAGUGGGGAAUAUUGCACAAUGGGCGCAAGCCUGAUGCAGCGACGCCGCGUGGGGGAUGACGGCCUUCGGGUUGUAAACUCCUUUCAGCCAUGACGAAGCCCUUGUGGUGACGGUAGUGGUAGAAGAAGCACCGGCUAACUACGUG
rnacentral:rRNA from 1 species